UACAGAGGGUGCGAGCGUUAAUCGGAAUUACUGGGCGUAAAGCGCUCGUAGGCGGCUUUGCAAGUCGGGUGUGAAAUCCCCAGGCUUAACCUGGGAACUGCAUUCGAGACUGCAUUGCUAGAGUAUGGGAGAGGGAAGUGGAAUUUCCGGUGUAGCGGUGAAAUGCGUAGAUAUCGGAAGGAACAUCAGUGGCGAAAGCGACUUCCUGGACCAAUACUGACGCUCAUGUGCGAAAGCGUGGGGAGCAAACAGG
rnacentral:rRNA from 1 species